AUCCGGGCAAUGUACUAAUUUUAAGAACGUGGCUCGUUGAUAUUCUAGCCUUUGUGAGCGUCUUCCUCUGCCUUUCGUCAAUGGAAUCAUUAUAUCAAAAAGCGAACAAAUUGUUGAUGGAAGUUGAGAGUCACAUAUCAUCUCUAGGGCACUCGUAUUCGCCUCAACUUGAGCAGGAAAUUGAGGGUAAAUUAGAGGAGUUGUUCUCUGAUAUUCAGAGGUUGGAGCAGAUGGUCGCUAAAGAACCACCUUCCAGGAAGCAGAGCGCCAAACUACGAGUUGAACAAUUGUCAUAUGAUUAUCAGCAUCUACAUAGUACUCUUAGGACGUUCCAACAGAAACAGCGGCUCAAGGAAAAGGAAGAGCACGAUAGGAAUGAAUUGUUGUCAAGGAGAUUUACAGCAAAAUGUAUGGAUGUACACACACACACACACACACACACACACACACACACACACACACACACACACACACACACACACACACACACACAC